rnacentral:lncRNA from 1 species
AGUUUUCUCACAUGAACUUCAAAGGCAAAAGGGUGCCCAUAUUUGUUCAAGAACAAGGUAUUGGAAGAGGAGAUCAACCCAUAACCCUGGCUGCUAACUUGGUUAGUUACAGGUAGUGUAAUGUACACCUUCAUAAGCUUAAUUCAAAUUAGUAAGUCAUACAUACAUAUAUACUGUUGAAAACACGGUGACUGAUGACUAUUUGUUGUUAUUGGCAGGGCAGGAGGUGAUUGGAGUACAACUUAUGCUCCUUCUCCAUUCUACAUAACGUCAAGAAUGAGGUCUGUCUGCCUUGAAGGAUAUGAUUAUACAGUUUUCGAUCUUACUAGACUUGACAGAGUACAGAUACAGGUAUGGUUACAAAAAUUCAGAGAUAUGGUUCAAGUAUGUAUGUAUAUAAUUCAAGCUUACAGUUUCUCAUAUUUUGUGACGUGGAGCUUGCAGAUACAUGGAAACUCAGCUGAAGGGCGGAUAUUGCAUGGAAACUCACCUUGUGAACUGAUUGAACGUUUCACAGAAAGCAUCGGAAGGUUACCAGAGCUUCCUGAAUGGAUUAUAUCUGGUGCUAUAGUUGGAAUGCAAGGUGGCACAGAUGCUGUACGUCAUAUCUGGGAUGAACUAAGGACUUAUGAUGUUCCUAUCUCGGCAUUUUGGUUGCAGGUAAUCCCUCAACACUACAUUUAAAAAGAAAGGAAAAACAAAAGUACUUCAAAGUCAUAUAUACUCUUUGGAUCUCUGCAGUUUCGGCAAACAUGUAAUUCACAGUUCAGUUUGCUUCUAUAGAUAAUCCUUUUUUCUUGAUUUAAACCAAGCAUAUACAAUAAUUUAAGUGGUAUAUUUUGUUUGACUGAUGUCAUAUACACAGAUUUCUAAUACUGGAAAUAAACUUGUGAUGAACAACUUGGCUUGUGCACUCACACUCACAAACUUGAAACCAUUACAACUCUUUGAUAUUUUUAAUUUAUGUUGAUUACUUGUGACAACUACGCAGGAUUGGGUAGGGCAGAGAAAAACAUUGAUUGGUUCACAGCUCUGGUGGAAUUGGGAAGUGGAUUCACAAAGGUAUUGGGGAUGGAGGAAUUGGGAAGUGGAUUCACAAAGGUAUUGGGGAUGGAAGGAACUUAUUGAAGAUCUUAGCUCUCAGAAUAUAAAAGUUAUGACAUAUUGCAAUCCCUGUCUAGCUCCGGUAAUACUCCCUUUGAAUCACUCCAAGUAUAAAUAUUGUAGUCUCUAACAGUAAUUCAUGAUUGGUCUCUUGGUUUGCUAUCAUAAUUUCAUUUUGCUAAGUGCCAUUGGUAAGACAUGUGGCUAGUUUGCUAAGUGCCAUUGGUAAGACAUGUGGCUAGUUUAGGAAAAUUGAGAUAAUGUCACUACUAUAAACCUUUUCUUCUUUGUCUAAUCGUAUAGGUUGAUGAGAAGCAAAACAAAAGGAGAAACCUCUUUGAGGAGGCAAAACAGUUGGACAUAUUGGUAAAAGACGGCAAUGGAAAUCCAUACAUGGUUCCAAACACGGCUUUUGAUGUAGGAAUGCUAGAUCUGACGCACCCAAAAUCUGCAACUUGGUUCAAGCAGAUUCUUGGAGACAUGGUGGAUGAUGGAGUUAGAGGAUGGAUGGCUGAUUUUGGUGAAGGCCUUCCUGUUGAUGCUGUUCUAUAUUCAGGUUGCAUUCAUGUAUCUUUGUUUCUCCAACACUUCUGCUCAGUGUAAAAUUCUUACCUGCUUCACGAGGACUUUCUUAUGGCAAUUGAUUGUAAAACACAAAGAAAAGUGGAUUAAAGUAAGAAACUAGUUCGUGCUAUUGGCUACAAAGCAUAUCUUUUAUCCUCUGCCAAAACAUUCUUCCGGGAUAAUUAUCUGAACAUUUUCUUAUCAUCCAAACCAAAGUAUAAAAAAUGAGAACAAAACUAGACUGAACGUAUGAGCAUGUGAUUAUUACUAAGAAGAUGAACCCUCUGUUUCAGGUGAAGAUCCUAUUUCAGCUCAUAACAGAUACCCGGAACUAUGGGCCAAAAUUAACAGAGAGAUUGUAGAAGAAUGGAAAAGUAAACCCUUGGACAAGGUGAAGAAAGACCAAGAGGAGGGUUUGGUUUUCUUCAUGAGAGCUGGUUUUAGAGACAGCCCCAAGUGGGGGAUGCUAUUUUGGGAAGGAGACCAAAUGGUCAGUUGGCAAAGAAAUGAUGGAAUAAAGAGUUCUGUUGUUGGCCUACUGAGCAGUGGAAUUUCUGGCUAUGCAUUUAAUCACAGUGACAUUGGAGGAUACUGUACAGUAAACUUGCCUAUAGUUAAAUAUAAUAGAAGUGAAGAAUUGCUUUUGCGGUGGAUGGAGCUAAAUUCUUUUACCAUAGUCUUCCGUACCCAUGAAGUAAGUAAAAUACCUGCAUUAGACAUACCCUUUUUAUCAUGAUUAUACUUUCUUAUUCUAUCUUUAUAAUCAUUGUACAAGUACUCAGCAAGGAUACAUUUAUUACAACAAGAAUUUGGCUAACCAAUGGAAGUUUUUAUUCUUUAAGAUUAUAGUUUAUAACAUUACUUAAGAAAGGGAGCUUCACCCUUAAAAGUAAAUAUGUUACCCUACCACAAAUAUUUUCUAACUUCUCUUUCUCACUGAUCUUUAAAAUUUACUAUUAAAGAAAAAGAAAUAAUAGGGUAAAUCCCUUUGUGUAUAUUGAACACAUAGGGUUAUGUUUAUAACCCUAUGUUUAUAUAGAAAAAGAAAUAUAUGGGCUAAACCCAUUACAUAAAUAUGAAAUAUCUAACGAUAUUUAUAAUAUCUCAUAAUAUCUAACAUUUACUAAAAGAAAUAGUGGCAUUCACCAUGUGGAGUGAAGCAACUUAGCUGAUAUGCUAAUGUAAAGUGUUAAUUCAAGAAAUACUACAAUCUGAAUUAAUAAGGAUAUAAUCAUAUAACCAAAAAGGUAACCUUUUAUUCAAUAAAUUUCUGUCAUAUAAAGUUUGCAUGGCAAUGACUCACUGAUGCUUGAACUGUAUGCAGGGAAACAAACCAUCAUGCAACAGCCAGUUUUACUCAAACCAGCAAACAAUGUCACACUUUGCACGUUUUGCAAAAGUAUACAAAGCAUGGAAAUUUUAUCGAAUUCAGCUGGUGAAGGUGAUCACAAAAUCUAUCUAUAGUGACUAAAUAAGUAUAUAUAAACCAUUAGGCAUUAAAACGGUCCUUUCCAUUUUAUUUUCUAAACAGGAAGCUGCUCAGAAAGGAUUGCCUGUAUGUCGCCAUCUAUUUCUUCAUUAUCCAAAUGAUGAACGUGUGCAAAAUUUGAGUUAUCAGCAGUUCUUGGUUGGUUCUGAGUUCCUAGUGGUGCCUGUUCUUGACAAAGGAAAGAAAAAAGUUAAAGCAUAUUUUCCAUUGGGGGAGAGUAGCAGUUGGGUUCAUAUCUGGACAGGAAAAGUAUUUUCCAAAGAAGGAAGUGAAGAAUGGGUAGAAGCUCCAAUAGGAUAUCCUGCUGUAUUUCUUAAAGUUGGCUCUCUCAUUGGAGAAACCUUUUUGAAUAACCUAAGAAGUUUAGGCAUUCUUUAAUAAAGCAUUCAUGGAAGAUGGAUGAAUCUUAGAUAUGUAACAUAGCAUGUAAGUUACUUAUCAAUUCAUGCCGCUGAAUUAAUUCAGUUGUGUAUUUUGUAUCAUUGCAAUCAAAGCUAGUGUAAAGAAAUAGUUGAAAGGAUCUGAAUCACUUAUAUUACACUCAUUAAGCAUCAUAAUAUAGAACAUUAUGUAUUAGUACAACUUCCUCAUUCAUUUCCAGCAAAUAGCUCUACAAAUGAAAUAAAACAUUAGGAAAUUGACAGAUAAGUGCUGCAUGGGAAACAGUUGUCUACUUCAUCCUGCAUAACUUUUUUUUAUCUAAAUAAAUAACAUAAUUCACAAAUAUGCAAACGGUCAACCACACAAACCUUAGUGGCAAAUUGAGCGGUUCGUGGUUUAUGUUUAGUUUGAGUUUAUUAAAGAGAACAACGAGAAAAAUUCCCAAGCCUCGUUCAAUGAUAAUUUUUCCUACAACAUCUUGAUCAGAGAAUGUAUAGAACACUUCUCUCCUCAAAAGCUAGAUAUACGAAAUGACAGAUUCUACUUUAAAUAGAAGUUUCAUGUCUUAUACUUACACAUUUUUUGUUCAUGCUCAUAUCCCUGAAAACUUAUUUGAGCCAAAUAACGUCGUGUAAUUCGUCUAGCCGCCUUGUUAUUGUAGUUGUUGCUCAUGUUCCUGCAUCUCUUCCACCUUUACAGCAUAUGGUUAAGAGAAAAAAGAAGAGAUGGCAACCAUGUUCUACAUAACACACAAACAACAAGAAUAAUUUGAAGCGUAGUUGGAAGGAAGACGUCUGUCCCCACAACCUACUUCCUCCUGACCUCAUAUCUGCGCAGCUUUCCCAAUGAGAUUAUAUUGUUUCCUACAUAGUUUCUGCACAACUGCGAUUCAAAUUCAGGCACAUAUAUAAAUAUGCUUCUUGCACAUGACUACAUGAGCCAGGAACAUUUUUGGUUGGAAAUACUUGUUAUGUCUAUUCUAUAAGAACUCAGAGAAAUAAAAGUUCUAGAGUUUAUCAUGACCCUCUCAUGUUAGCAUUUUUCUGGGACAAUGAGAAAGCAUUGAUUUCUACGUAGACAACCAGAACCUGAGCAUUCUAUCAUUCGCAACCAGUUAUAAUAGCUGCUAAACAAGAAAACAAAGCUUGGAAGAAACUUAAUGAGACCUAAGUCAAGUUUGACAUCUCAAUCUCUGAAAACUUUAGUGGGUGCUAAAUGUUGAACAUUUCAAAGUAAAGUACUAAAAUCCCAUCUUCUGUAGCAAGCAAUGAAUGUUAGGCUUCUUGAUGACACUACCACCACAUCCUUCUUAAGCAUUGAAAAUCCAUCCUGAUCAGGUUGAAUUUCAUGUCAGAACAUGAAUCGUUCUCAAUUUACAAAAUUUACAUACUAUUUCUCGUAGACAACAGCAUACUUAAAAAAAUCAUCACAGACAACUUUCCCAACGAUGAUGAAAACUAUCAAAACAACUUGCUUUUUAUGUUGGAUGGACUUGUUAUGUCAUCAAAUAAACAAGUUUCAACACAUCCACCACUCAUUGAUCAAGAGUGAUUGAAUACCCAGGAACUUAGAAGAGACAAUAUCAUGACAACAGUGCACAAAACUUCUACCAAGUUAAUCACAACAAACUAAUAAAACAUGUUAUUCAUCAUUCACUGAAAAAAGGAUGCAACCCCAUUUUACAUCACAUGCAUAAACCUUCAAUUUUCACAAAUGGUUGUAUGCGCGCGCGAACUUACAAAUGAGUUUCCUCUCAGUUCCACGAGGAAGCAAAAGAAUUGUUUGGUCUCUCAACAUUCAUGAGUUAAGGUUCCUCUUAUUGAAUAAGGUUGUUAAUAUCGAAUACUGUAGUGGCAUAUUCUCUUAAACUCUCUUUGGUGCCAUGUCAGAAAUAUUUUUGCUUGGUUUGAUGCCAGUUUAUGGCA